rnacentral:rRNA from 1 species
UGGGGAAUAUUGCACAAUGGAGGGAACUCUGAUGCAGCGACGCCGCGUGAACGAAGAAGGCUUUCAAGUCGUAAAGUUCUUUUAUAUGGGAAGAUAAUGACGGUACCAUAAGAAAAAGCCCCGGCUAACUACGUGCCAGCAGCCGCGGUAAUACGUAGGGGGCUAGCGUUGUCCGGAAUCACUGGGCGUAAAGGGUUCGCAGGCGGAAAUGCAAGUCAGGUGUAAAAGGCAGUAGCUUAACUACUGUAAGCAUUUGAAACUGCAUAUCUUGAGAAGAGUAGAGGUAAGUGGAAUUUUUAGUGUAGCGGUGAAAUGCGUAGAUAUUAAAAAGAAUACCGGUGGCGAAGGCGACUUACUGGGCUCAUUCUGACGCUGAGGAACGAAAGCGUGGGUAGCAAACAGG